GAGUGAACGCUGGCGGUAGGCCUAACACAUGCAAGUCGAACGGCAGCACAGUAAGAGCUUGCUCUUACGGGUGGCGAGUGGCGGACGGGUGAGGAAUACAUCGGAAUCUACUUUUUCGUGGGGGAUAACGUAGGGAAACUUACGCUAAUACCGCAUACGACCUACGGGUGAAAGCAGAGGAUCUUCGGACCUUGCGCGAUUGAAUGAGCCGAUGUCGGAUUAGCUAGUUGGCGGGGUAAAGGCCCACCAAGGCGACGAUCCGUAGCUGGUCUGAGAGGAUGAUCAGCCACACUGGAACUGAGACACGGUCCAGACUCCUACGGGAGGCAGCAGUGGGGAAUAUUGGACAAUGGGCGCAAGCCUGAUCCAGCCAUACCGCGUGGGUGAAGAAGGCCUUCGGGUUGUAAAGCCCUUUUGUUGGGAAAGAAAAGCAGCAGGUUAAUACCCCGCUGUUCUGACGGUACCCAAAGAAUAAGCACCGGCUAACUUCGUG
rnacentral:rRNA from 1 species